UUACACAUUAAAUUUUGUCCUGAUAUUUUUCAGAGAGAAUAAAGAGUUAGCAUCAUUGCCAGACGAGUAGAACCUGUAAAAAAGUUCUUGUUUUUAUAUAUUUUGUGCAUAUGUUUGAAGAGUUUUAUUUUAUUUUGUUAGACUCUAAAUUCUAAGUUCAUGUUUUGUAUAUAUAGUUACUGUACAUAUCACAUGAGAUGGUAGGUUGUAUUAUAUUUUUUUAUCCACGCAUGUAUAUAUUUUAUGGGCCCACAGCAUGGAAUGGCUUGAGCAGGAAUUGUGCCUCAUAUCGAGUAUCAGGGCAUGACAAAGAUCCUUAUCAAAGGUACCAUAUACAAAUUUUAUAAUUGAUGAAUAUUUUUCUAAACUUUGAGUUGUAUUUAAGGAUGUUUAAGCUUUCAUUCUGUAUUUUCUUUUUUUUUCUUCUUAACUUAAAAGUUUAAUCGAAUAGAACAUAACUUAGCUAGAAAUGUAGUAAGGACUAUUGAAAGAUAUAUAUUUCUACAUGAGCCUAAGUUUUUUGUUGACUUGCUUGAGCAAAACUGUUUUUACUGUUUAUGGAUGAUGACAUUUUCUUAAAAAAAUGUAAAUGUAAUCGUUGUUAUUGUAUUGACUUACAUUGUAUAAAGUAACACCGUACUAGAAAGAAAUAAGACAAAUUUUGUAGGUCAAUUAAAUAAGAAAGUAGAACUUAACUUGAAUGAAUUAUUUAAUCUCAUACAAACGAAUGA
rnacentral:lncRNA from 1 species